CGUGCUUAACACAUGCAAGUCGAACGAUGAUCCUGUGCUUGCACAGGUGAUUAGUGGCGAACGGGUGAGUAACACGUGAGUAACCUGCCCCUGACUCUGGGAUAAGCCCGGGAAACUGGGUCUAAUACUGGAUAUGCACCGUGAACCGCAUGGUUCUUGGUGGAAAGAUUUUUUGGUCAGGGAUGGACUCGCGGCCUAUCAGCUUGUUGGUGAGGUAAUGGCUCACCAAGGCGACGACGGGUAGCCGGCCUGAGAGGGUGACCGGCCACACUGGGACUGAGACACGGCCCAGACUCCUACGGGAGGCAGCAGUGGGGAAUAUUGCACAAUGGGCGAAAGCCUGAUGCAGCGACGCCGCGUGAGGGAUGACGGCCUUCGGGUUGUAAACCUCUUUCAGUAGGGAAGAAGCGAAAGUGACGGUACCUGCAGAAGAAGCGCCGGCUAACUACGUGCCAGCAGCCGCGGUAAUACGUAGGGCGCAAGCGUUAUCCGGAAUUAUUGGGCGUAAAGAGCUCGUAGGCGGUUUGUCGCGUCUAUCGUGAAAGUCCGAGGCUCAACCUCGGAUCUGCGGUGGGUACGGGCAGACUAGAGUGAUGUAGGGGAGACUGGAAUUCCUGGUGUAGCGGUGAAAUGCGCAGAUAUCAGGAGGAACACCGAUGGCGAAGGCAGGUCUCUGGGCAUUAACUGACGCUGAGGAGCGAAAGCAUGGGGAGCGAACAGGAUUAGAUACCCUGGUAGUCCAUGCCGUAAACGUUGGGCACUAGGUGUG
rnacentral:rRNA from 1 species